ACUUCGGAAGCUAUUGUAGCGUUAGGCUUUUAACCUGGAAAAGUGGUUUAAUAUCCCCACCUGAGGUAG
rnacentral:tRNA from 1 species